rnacentral:tRNA from 1 species
UUAAUUGAAACCAAAAUAGAGGUAUGUCACUGUUAAUGAUAUUAAUGAAUUUCAAUUCCAAUUAAA